CUCACAACCACUUCGUCUGCGACAACUGUUCUACUUUUCUUUAGCCUUGGCAAGCUAUUCAGAACAACAUUUCCUUCUUUUCAUUCUUAUGCAGGGUGAUUGUUUGGUGCUGAUACAACAUUGACUUUUCCCAUAAUUUAGCUUAGAGUGUUUUACACUGGGGAGUUCCAAUGUGUUUAAAUUGUAAAACUUUUUCCGAGCAUUUUUGUAGCAGAACUCCAUGUUCUAAUAGCCCCGGCAAAGUUGUUUUUAAUACUUUUUCUCUACGAAUUUUCAUUAAAAUUUAAUUCCAUUUUAACUUUGUCAAUUUUCCCCAAAGAUAAAUUAAGACACACAGAGAGAUUGUCAUUUCCUGUUUGAAGUCUCAUUCCUGUGUACAAUGUCAGUCUUUUUUAUUUAGGCCUAUGCCAUUCCAUCAGGGUAAAUAACUUUCUAACUAGUCAUUUAAGAGCAACUCCCGGGAAACUGUGAUGCAAUCCCACAUAUCAGCCAGACUUCAAAAGCUGCCAGAUUAUUGUGAAAGGAGAAACACUGUUUUCGAAGGCUGCUGAUAAUGCCUAUUAGCCAGAAGAAAGAGCCUGAAUCAUUCAAAGGUUUUCCAUCUAGUAAAGAAGUGUGGUAAAAAUCUUGCCCAGAUCUGCAUGUGCUAAGCAUCUACGUAAGUUGGAGCAUCAUAUUAAUGACACCCAGUGAAGAAACGAAAGAAUGAAGUGUAAUUACUAUAUCAAAAAUCCACAGAAUGUGAAAGUAUAAAGGAAAACUCUCAGCUGCUCAGCUAAAAACUUUGGAGUUAGACAUAUGGACAGCCCACCCCAAGGGAAGAAUCAGAGGAGAAGGGACACAAGACCCCAGAAACACACAAAGCACCUUAAUAUGCAUGCUGCAUCUCUCUAAAAUUGUGGAACCUGUUUACCUGCUCUGGAGAAUGGCUGCCUGUGGCAGACAUAGGAGUUGUCCUCAUGCUGUGCUUCCUAUCUUCCACAGUAAUUGACUUGUAGCUGCAAUACAGUUACCAACCAGGAAUACAAUUUCUCAGCCCCAUGUCUUGCACCUACAGCUAAGUGUGGCCAUGUGACCAGUUUUCACCAAUUAAGUGUGAAUAGCAACAAAGUGCACCACCUUCAAUUGGAGGCUUUGAAGAAGCAGGGCAGCCUUCCCUUGCUCUCUUUCCCCUUGUUCUGGUGGGAUACAGAUGACAAUAAGGCCCUGGGUUUUGAGGUAGCCACAAGAUGCAAAAUACCUCAGACCUGAGUCACCACAAGGAAGAGAGAAGCCCACUGACAUGGAAUACCCAGCCUAGUCUACAGAUGAAUAAGAAAUAAACUUCUAUUAUGUUCGAACAUUACAGAUUUUGUUCUGUUAUAGCAGUUUAUCUCACCCUGACUAAACUGUUGCCUAUCUUCCAAGAUAGGCCCUCCUUCCCUGAAAGUGACUUUUUCAUACAUGUAAUCUGUAUUUUAAUUCAUAUUCUCCAAAGCAUAUCCACAUCUAUUCAACUAUUUUCAUGUCUUCCAUCAAUAAAAACCUCAUAUAAAUAUAUACGAGGUUUUUUUUUUUUUUUUUAAGACACUUUGGAGUUAUCCUUGACCCUGUCCUCUUUUCUCAUACCCAUAUACGAACCAUUAAGAAAUCUUGUUGCCUCAACCUUCAAAAUCUAUCCAGGAUUUAACCACUAAUCAACCCCUUCUCCUCUGUCAGUCUGUCCUCCUAGAUUUCAUCUUGACCAUCCUUAGAAACUCCUAACCAGUCUUAUUGCUUUCGCCAUUGUACAUCCAGACUAUUCUCAAAUGGCAACCAAUGAGAUCGUGCUGCACUUCUGCUCAAAACCUGCAAAUGGCUUCCUACCUCACUUAGGGUAAAACCAAAUGGGGCCUGCACAAUCUGGCUUCACCUCCUAGUGCUUUCCUCCUUGCUCAUUCAGCCCAGCCACACUGCUCUUCUUGCUUUUCCAUGAACAUGCUAGACACACUCUCACGUUUGGGCUUUUGCACUUGUUUCCCUUCCCAGAAUGCUCUCCUCGUGGAUACGCACAUAUCCAGCCCCUUAUCUCCUUCAAAUUUUAGUUCAAAUGCCACUUUCUCAAUGAGGGUUUUCUAACCAGCCUAUUUAAACUUACAGUCUCCCAUUGUCUAAAGCCUUGUCUCCCUUCCUGCUUUACUUUUCUUCAUAGUAAUUACCACCAUCUGACUUAUAUUUGCUUGCCUUUCUUGUUGAUUUUCUGUUUUACCCACUCAAAUGUAGUCCAUAAGGGAAGGGAUUGUUGUUUCAUUUGUUCACUUCUCUAUCCCCUGGGCCUGAGCCUGGCUUUGGGUAGGCACUCAGUUAAUGUUUGUGUAAAUUAAUAAAUGAAUGAAUGACAUUUACUACCUUAUAUGGUACUAUAAUAUAAAAGCAUAUGAUGCAGAGAAUUAGGAAUCUAGAAACUAGUUUUGACUCAGCAUCCUAUGUACAAGGUUAUGUAGACAAGUCAUUUCACCUCUCUGAGCCUCAUUUUUCUAAUAUUUAAAAUCUACCCUCCAGAGCUGUAAAGUGUUCAAAUAUAGAUUAUCUUAUGGAGUGCAGUCUCAUGCUUGCACAAUGAAAGAAGUUAAUUUCUACAUACCUUCCAUGUACCCACAAUCAAUGGUUUAUGUAAACCUCACCUCAGGAAAAUUAAGUUCUGUAUGAGCAGAUUUUUUUUUAAAUUGCCACUGAAAUAAAUACCAAAUUAAGCCAAAUAAAUACCAAAACAGACUUUGCAUUUUUCAUCUUUAGCCAAGCUCCUCUGGUUUGCAUACUCAUAAUAUAAUUCAAAUGACCAUUUUUGGAGUUUUGAUUUUUAGUGCUCUUUUUCUCUGCUAGGAGAAAUGAAUAUCUGAUGCUUUGUUUUUCCAAAUUGUUGUAUGAAAACUGAGUAAUGCUAUAAAGCUUUUUAAAUAUUUUAGAGGUAUAGCAAGUGAACUAUUUUAUAAGUUUCUGGGAUUUUUGAAAAUAUUUUUUAUUUUUAAUUUUUACUGAGACAGGGUCUUGCUCUGUUGCCCAGGCUGGAGUGCAGUGGUGUGAUCUCAGCUCACUGCAGCCUCUGCUGCCCAGGUUCAAGCGAUUCUCAUGCCUCAGCCUCCCAAGUAGCUGGGACUACAGUCCUGUGCCACCAUGCCUGACUAAUUUUUUUUGUAUUUUUAGUAGAGAUACGGUUUCGCCAUGUUGGCCAGUCUGGUCUCGAACUCCUGACCUCAAGUGACCUGCCCACCUCAGCCUCCCAAAGGGCUGGGAUUACAGGCAUGAGCCACUGCACCCAGCCUGAACAUAUUUUUUAUGUUCAAUAUAAUGUUGACUACCUAGUAAAGUCAUAUUUGUUCAAAUUCCCCUGAUUUAUUUUCUAAUGAAUACCUCGAUAUUUCUCUUAUAUGCUGGUCACUUAUCAAAUGAUUCCCAGUGAACACUUUUGAUUGAUUAAUGUAUAACUUGAUCAGGUACUGAAUUUGCAUUUGCUUAGUAAGGCCCACCUUGAAAAAUAGUGCAAAUAAUUUAUUCAGGUCAGAUAGGGAGAAAGAAAUCAUAAAAAUACUAAACCAAACAAACUUUAGAAGUGGCUGUUAAUAGAUAAGAUUUUCAAGGCCCAUGAUAAAGGGAUUCUAGUUCUAGAUCUGCUUUCCAUAUUCUUCAAUUCCAAGGGACAUCUUCAGCGUAGCUCCUGACUGGCCUGGCUAACGCUUCGUGCAUCCUUUCUUGAGCUUUGAAGUUUGUCCUGUUUGCCCCUCAAUCCUCAUAAGGUCUCCUUGUGCAUGUGCCCCUCCCUGAGUUUGUGUGUGAGUUGCUGUCUCAUUCCUGGUCUAUGUUCCCUAUGUUUUUAUUUCCUAUCUUUUAGUAUGUAAGUAGGUAGAUAGACAGAUUGACUGAUGAUUGAUUGAUAGAAAUAGAUAUAUAAUUUAUUUUCCCAUGGGUAGAUCUUUAAGGUUUUCAGGCAUGGGAGUAAGAUAACCACCCUAUCCCUCUGUGUGGUGGAAUAGGGUAGAGUAUGGCUGUGGCCAGAGAGACAACAGAACAGUGUAAGAAAGUGUAAAAGUCUUGAACUAUAGCAUAGAUACGCAAGAAAUAAAUGAAAAUGCUGCUGUUUAAUGUGCUGUUUGCAAUUUUUAAAAGUCUAUCAGUGGGAGAAUUGAAUAGGUAAAUAAAGUUUUCAUUGUUAACUUUGUAACAAUAAGUUUCUGAUAAUCUGUAACACAACAAUAAAGUAAGAAAGCUCAAAAGUAUUCUCAAAUUUCCCCAUCAGGGAAUAAUUUCUUCCUGAAUAUCACUCACAGCUCCCUGGAAUAAUAAUACAGUAUAACCUUUUUAUUCAAUUGACACCUAUGAGCCAAUUUCUAUUGUUUCUCAACCAACCCUCCUACUCUUCACCAGUCUGUGUUGGGGCCAUAUCUAUGUAUUCACAUACAUAGUAUUCUUUUCUUACAUCUAUCCUAGAAUAUGUAUGUAUAACACCAUAAUACAAGUCAACUGUCUCUUAUCUGCAACCACAAAUCCAUAAAGCUCUGAAAACCAGAAGUUUGUUUUAUGAUUGGUACCAAAAUUUAUUUUGUGCAAAACCUGGCUUGAACAGACAUGAGGCUUGCUAGCUGAUAUGCCCCACUAGAUGGUGAGCUUUAUGGAGGCAGUCUUGAUUCCUCCUGUCUGCCUGGUAUCUAGUGAAUCUCAACAAAUAUCAAAUAUUUGGAAUAAGCAAAUGAAUAUUUUCUAUCAAUUUAAUAUAUUUGAAUUUAUUAGUCUUCCUCUGUUGUUCUUAUUUGUUUUUUGAGACGGAAUCUCACUCUGUCACCCAGGCUGAAGUGCAAUGGCAUGACCACAGCUCACCGCAGCCUCAAACUCCCAGGCUCCAACAAUCCUCCUGCCUCAGCCUCUUGAGUAGCUGAGACUACAGGCACACACCACUGCACUCAGCUAAUUUUUGUGUUUUUUUGUAGAGAUGGGGUUUCGCCAUGUUGGCCAGGCUGGUCUUGAACUUGGCUCAAGGGAACCACCCACCUCAGCCUCCCUAAGUGUUGGGAUUACAGACAUGAGCCACUGCGCCUGGCCUCUGUUCUUAUUUUUUAAAUGUUAAAACUUUGAGAAAACAAGAGUUAGGGCUAAUAAGUGCUUUUCAAAAAUUUAUUUUUAAACUGAAAAUAUAAACAUUUGGUCAGAUUGAAAAAUCAAUGAUGGAACCAAGAAUAAUAUAGUGUUUCCUGAGUUUUAGAUUAGUAUUUUCUUACCUAGAUAAGACUAGUAUUAUGAAUGCCAGAUAAUUCCAAGGCCAAGAAAAACAACUUUCUUUAAAAUCUAUUAAAAUGUUAUGAGUGAAAAUGAUGAAAAUAACGUUAUUUUACUCCUGUGCCUGAAAACACUUAAGGGGUCCCCACUGGGGAAAAAUAUGAAUCAAUAUCUACAUAUGUAUAUAUUUACUUAUACAUAUAUUAUACCACUAAAAAAUCAGAAAUAAGAAGGUAGGGCAGAUAGAUCAAGAAUGACAUAGCAACUUACAUACGAACUUAGGUAGGAGAACUUGUAAAUGUAUUUUGAAUAUUUGAUGCUUCUCCAGAUUCUUUCACCUUUUCUUUAUACAUGCUUUUAUGUGGGUUCACAUAUAUAAAAAUUAUGUAUAUUGUAUACAAGUUUGUAUUUUUUUCUACAUUUUGAGGAAAUUUUGAGGAAGCAAACUUCUGCUUUAUGAAACAUCCACUCAUGACAUCAAUAAUUGCCAAGUAGAAUCUUUUUCAUAAAACACUCAUGACCUAAAUUGAAAAACAUAAAAGUUUUAUUGAAGUUACAAAUGUCAGGACACAAGUACUGUUAUCAAAUAUUAGAAUUAUGAUAUACCAUAACAUCUAUUAUUCUGCCUUGCAUUAUCAUUCUAAAUUUUGUAAAUAUUUGUUGGGUCAUAAAGAAAUAAAUUUCUCUUUGAGCCAUCUAACUUACUUCCUUCUAAUAUCCAAUUUAUUGAAUAGGAUGCCAUUCUAUUUCCUCCGAUGAAUUUUCAUCUGAUGUCCAUUUGCAGUUCACCCUUAAACAACAUGGAUUUGAACCGCAUGGGUCUAUUUAUACGUGAAUUUUUUUUAGUAAAUAUAUUGAAAAAUUUUUUGGAGAUUUGCAACAACUUGAAAAAACUUGCAGACAAACUGCAUAGCAUAGAAAUACUUUCGAAAAUUUUUUUUUGGCCGAGCGCGGUGGCUCAGGCCUGUAAUCCCAGCACUUUGGGAGGUCGAGGCGGGCAGAUCACCUGAGCUCGGGAGUUUGAGACAAGCCUGGCCAACAUGGUGAAACCCCGUCUCUACUAAAAAUACAAAAAUUUACCGGGCAUGGUGGUGGGCGCCUGUAGUUCCACCUACUCGGGAGGCUGAGGCACGAGAAUCACUUGAACCCGGGAGGCGGAGGUUGCAGUGAGCCGAAAUAGCACCACUGCACUCCAGCCUGGGUGACACAGCCAGAUUCCGUCUCAAUAAAUAAAUAAAUAAAUAAAUAAAUAAAUAAAUAAAUAAAUUUUAAAGUUAGGGCCAGGCACGGUGCUUCACACUUACAAUCCCAGCACUUUGGGAGGCUGAAGCGGAAGGAUCAUUUGAGCCCAGGAGUUUGAGACCAGGAGUUUGAGACCAGGAGUUUGAGACCAACCUGAGCAACAUAGUGGUACCCCAUUGCUACAAAAAAAUAAAAAGUAAAAAGUUAGCAAGCUGUGGUGGCACUCCUGAAGUCCCAGCUCCUCAGGAGUGGGAGGAUCACUUGAGCCUGGAAGGUUGAGGCUGCAGUGAUCCUUGAUCGCAAACACUGUGCUCUAGCCUGGGUGACAGAAUGAGACCCUGUCUCAAAAAAAAAAAAAAAAGAAAAAAGAAAAAAAGAAAAGAAAAGAAAAAAAUAGGAAUAGAAAAAGUUGGGUAUGUCAUGAGUGCAUAAAUACAUAAAUAUGUGUAGCCACUAAUCUAUUUUAUCAUUUACUGCCAUGAAAUACUUGAGUCGGCCAAACCAACCCCUUCUCUUCCUCUUCCUCUUCAGCCUACUCAACAUGAAGACAAUGAGAAUUAAGACUUUAUUAUUAUCCACUUCCACUUAAUGAAUAGUAAAUAUAUUUUUUCUUAUGAUUUUCAUAAUAUUUUACUUUCUCUAGCUUACUUUAUUGUAAGAAUACAGUAUAUAAUACAUGCAAUAUACAAAAUAUGUGUUAAUUAACUGUUUAUGUCAUUGGUAAGGCUUCUGGUCAACAGUAGCCUACUAGUAGUUAAUUUUGGGCGGAUCUAAAAGUUAUACAUGGGUAAUUGACCAUGUAGAAGUCGGCACACCUAACACCCAUGUUAUUCAAAGGAUUCAUGGGUCAACUGUAUUUCACUAUUUUUAUCUAUUUGUAAAUUAUUAAUAAUUGCUUUAUGUAUAAAAACAACAGCUGUCUCAUCAUCAUUAUAAUGUCAAUUGUUCCAUCCUUAUACUAUUAAUAUGAUAAAUAUACAUUUAUACUUCAAAUGACAGAAAAGUAGGCAUUAAUCAGCAAAGCAGUUCAGGAAAAUUAAUCUGGCAGGACUGAAUAAAAUGGGCUUGAAGAAAGUAGGCUUAAAGCAGAAAUAUAUUGGCUAGGACUCCAUUGCCAUUAUCUAAACAAGAAUUAAUGAGUUUCCUAACUGGGAAUGAAAUAGAAGAAAUGGAAAGAAGGGACAGUUUUAAAAUGUAAUGAAGGGAAAAUUGAUGCAAUUGGAUAACUGGUUGAAUAUAAGAAGCAAGACAGACUAUCAUAAUUGUUAGAUAUUUCAGAUAAUGUGGGCAUGAAAGAAAGAGAUGCCAAGAUGGUAGUAGGUAGUAGAGAGAAGGCCAAGGAAAUACUUGUAUUUCCUGAAGUUGGGAAAUACUUAUACUUGAAGAGUGUAGAAAGGAAGGAAUCAGCAGAGAGAGCUAAGGAGAAGCAAAAGAACAAUUUCACAAAAACAUGGAUUUAAAGAAGUAGUGGGCAGCAAUAUUCAGUGCCGCAGAAAAGGCUCUAGAUUUUAUGAGUAGGAAGUCUCGUGACCUUUAAGAGCACAGGGUUCCAUAGAAGGGUGAGGACAGAAACGAAAUUUGAAAGGAUUAAGGAAUGAGUGAAGUAUAAGAAAAUGUGACAGUAUUUUUUCAAAAUGAAUAAUCAAGCAAUGAAACAUGGAGGAACCUCAAAUGCAUGCCACUAAGUAAAAGAAGCCAGUGUGAAAAGGCUGCAUGACUGUAUGAUUCGAGCUACAUGGCAUUCUGGAAAGGGCAAGCCAUGGAGACAAUGAAAAGAUCAACGGCUGCCAGGGAUUGCAGGGAGGAAAGGAUAAACAGGCAGAGCACAUCAAAUUUUUAGGGCAGGGAAACUAGUCUGUAUUAUACUAUAAUGGUGGGUACAUGUCAUUAUGCAUUUGUCAAAACCUGUAAAAUGUACACCAAAAGUCAACUCUAAUGUACAUUAUGGACUGAGUGAUUAUGAUGUGUCAGUGUAGUUCAUUGGUUGGAACAAAUGUACUCUGGUGGGAGACGUUAAUAGUAGAUGUUGGCCGGGCAUGGUGGCUCACGCCUGUAAUCCCAGAAUUUUGGGAGGCCGAGGAGGGUGGAUCACGAGGUCAGGAGUUCAAGAGCAGCCUGGCCAAGAUGGUGAAACCCUGUCUCUACUAAAAAUACAAAAAUUAGCCCAGCAUGGUAGCAGGCGCCUGUAAUCCCAGCUACUUGGGAGGCUGAGGCAGAGAAUCACUUGAACCCGGGAGGCAGAGGUUGAGUGAGCCGAGAUCACGCCAUUGCACUCCAGCCUGGCAAUAGAGUGAGACUCCAUCUCUAAAUAAAUAAAUAAAUAAAUAAAUAAAUAAAUAAAUAAAUAAAUAAAAUGAAGUCAAUUUUAAAAGAAUGUAUAACCAUUUUUAUUAAUAUAAACUUCUGUGUUACAUACAUGUAUUACUUUUAUUGUAUCAUUUUAUAGCCCUUAAAAAUUUCAACAAAAUGUAAAAAUGUAUUUUUGUGACCAAUGAAAUAAGUGGAGUAAAGUGAUAUUGUUCAGCUAAAUAUAUGAUAGAUAUAAGAAUUUAGUUACAUUUCUGGAAUGACAGAGUGGUGAUGAAUUUUAUAGCAUUAUGACGUAAGUAAGAAAUGUUAGGUCUGUCUUCGGAUGUCUAUUGUAUGUUCCAGUUAUUUAUUGCUGUGUGUAACACACCACACCAAAACUUAGUAGCUUAAAACAGUCAUUUAUUGUUAUGUUCCAUUUUUCUGGGGGUUGACGAAGCUGAGCGUUACUCACUUUUGUGUCCUUCAAAUGGUUGCAGAAAUAUGACAGAUGAGGCUGGAAUUCUGAAAGCUUCUUUACUCACAUGCCUGGCUCCUAGACUAGAAUAGCUAGAAUACCUGUGGGCUGGUCAGGAUUUCUCCCUCUUUUGUCUCUCCACAUAGCCAUAGUGUGGCUUGGGUUUCAAACAGCGUGGCAUUUCAAGACCAGGAAUUCCAGGAGACCCAGGUAGAAGCUUCAAAGUGUGGGAAGUGUUGGAAGUCAUACAGCGUCACUUCCACUAUAUUCUAUUUGGCAAAUCUGUCACAAAUGAGCCCAGAUUCAAGGGAGUAGAGCAAUAGAUAGAUACAGGGAGGAGAGAAAUUGAUGGUAGCCAACUGAAAACAAGAAACAAGCUACCACAAUCUAUUUAGGGGAUAUUUAUAAAAACAUAGAGACACACAUGCACAAACAACACACACGUACACACAUACAUGCAGAUAAAUACAUUUUUAUGAAAAAAUUAAGAAUUAUUAUGAAUGUUCAAGUAUACAAUAAUAUGCAAAGGGAAAACCUUAAUAAUUAAAGUAGGAAAUGAGACUAACUCUGAGAAGAGUAAUCAAAGACAUUGUAUUUUUUUUUCAG
rnacentral:lncRNA from 10 species